rnacentral:rRNA from 1 species
GACGAACGCUGGCGGCGUGCUUAACACAUGCAAGUCGAGCGGAAAGGCCACUUCGGUGGUACUCGAGCGGCGAACGGGUGAGUAACACGUGAGUAAUCUGCCCCUGGCUUUGGGAUAGCCACCGGAAACGGUGAUUAAUACCGGAUACGACAACUUCUCGCAUCGGAUGGUUGUGGAAAGUUUUUCGGCCAGGGAUGUGCUCGCGGCCUAUCAGCUUGAUGGGGAGGUAAUGGCUCACCAUGGCUUCGACGGGUAGCCGGCCUGAGAGGGUGACCGGGCAGACUGGGACUGAGACACGGCCCAGACUCCUACGAGAGGCAGCAGUGGGGAAUAUUGGACAAUGGGCGGAAGCCUGAUCCAGCAACGCCGCGUGAGGGAUGACGGCCUUCGGGUUGUAAACCUCUUUCGCCUGUGACGAAGCGCAAGUGACGGUAACAGGUAAAGAAGCACCGGCCAACUACGUGCCAGCAGCCGCAGUAACAC